UGGGGAAUUUUGGACCAUGGGGGAAACCCUGAUCCAGCCAUCCCGCGUGUGCGAUGAAGGCCUUCGGGUUGUAAAGCACUUUUGGCAGGAAAGAAACGUCAUGGGUUAAUACCCCGUGAAACUGACGGUACCUGCAGAAUAAGCACCGGCUAACUACGUGCCAGCAGCCGCGGUAAUACGUAGGGUGCAAGCGUUAAUCGGAAUUACUGGGCGUAAAGCGUGCGCAGGCGGUUCGGAAAGAAAGAUGUGAAAUCCCAGAGCUCAACUUUGGAACUGCAUUUUUAACUACCGGGCUAGAGUGUGUCAGAGGGAGGUGGAAUUCCGCGUGUAGCAGUGAAAUGCGUAGAUAUGCGGAGGAACACCGAUGGCGAAGGCAGCCUCCGGGGAUAACACUGACGCUCAUGCACGAAAGCGUGGGGAGCAAACAGG
rnacentral:rRNA from 1 species